rnacentral:lncRNA from 1 species
GAAAAGUUUGAUCAUAAGAGAAAGGCAAUGUCUGAAGUAGUUCCAUGUCAUGUUCCAAAAGAGUCAAUUUGCUUUUAUUGCCAAGAGAAAGGGCAUUGGAGACGAAGCUGCCCCAUUUACCUAAGAGAUCUAAGAGAUGGGAGAGUCGAAACGUAUGGCUCUAAUAUAGGUAAAAUCCAUUAACUAACUCUUUUAAGCUUCUAUUCUAGAUUCUUAAUACAUAAUGUGAUAAGAUUACAAUUGAUGUUUUGUAGGAUCGAAGAAAAGAAAGGAAGCUUAAGGGAAGAAGUGAGCAGAAUCUAACCGUGAAGGAAUGGAUUUCGAUCGCAUUUCUCGAAGAUUAGAUUCUUGAGCUACUACUUAGAGUUAGAAUUAGAUUGCUAAGAAAGAUGUAUUAGCAUAGUUUUUCAAUGAAUUGCAUUGUAAGGACAAAUUUUUUCCGCAAUAAAAUAAAUUUUGAUUUUAUAUUAUUUAUUUAUCCUUGCAAUGGCGUAUAUGAAAAAUUGAUGUUUGAAUGUUUCUAUUAUUAGCAAUAAUGGAUUUGGUUCUUAUUAUGUUAUUUAUGGAAAGUCGAGAAUUUACCAAAUAGGGAGAGUUUCUCAUCGCCCAAGUUUCAAUUGGACAGAAACUUGGAAUCAUGCAACUUGGUUGCACGAUGAAUGAGAAAUUUCAUAUUUGGAAAUUAGACUAAUUCAUUGACAAAGUGUCAAGUGAAGGACUAGGAGAUCGAGUACACAAAGUUGCGUGUUGAUCAAGUCCACCAUAAGAGUAACAAAGAUAUUCGUCAUGAUUUACUAAAGGUUUAGUAAAUAUGAUUAUACUUAUAAGAUUAAGUGUAAUUCUGAAUUGAUUGAAAAAGUUUAAAUCAAUAGCAGAACGAAUAAGAAGAAUCAAGUAGGCAGAAAGAUAAAAGUUUCUCUAUUCUAAGAAGAAGGGAGAGUACCUUUUAUUAUGUUUUAUGAUAGGUCUUAAUGAUUAAGAACCAUAUCUCAAUUGAUCCUCUAAGUGAGUCUUAGUACAAUUGUAUGUCUAAGAAGAGGAAUCAAGAAUUGAAGAAAUGGUUAAAUCAAGAAGUCAAUCAUACUUCGUUCCAAAACAAGUCUUAGAGUUAAGAUUGUGACAUUGAGUGACAAGUCUUAAGAAGGUUUAUAACAUUCAUCAAAUGUAGAAUUUGGAAAAAGGUUUUCUUAUUCUUGCACAUUUGAAAUUGGUAAGUUGUGAUGUCUUGGAUUAGACAAAGACCGACUAGGACCAAUUUUAUUAAGUGUUUUGUCUUGAUAAAAGCUACACUAACUCUUGAAUAUUUGGUUGUCAAGAAAUGUUUAUUGACAAGAGAAUCUUAUAUGUCAAGGAGUCAGUGGGAGUCUUAAUGGUCUUGAAAAGUUUAAGAACUAAUCAAGAAUAAACCUUAUCGAUCAUCACUAGCACACGAGUUGAGGUUUCCAACCUAUCAAGUUGACACUAUAUUGUUUCUGUGCCAUUCCAAUCGAGUUAAUUAUGCAUGUGAGCCCUAUGAGUUCUCAUUUGAAUGUAUAAAAGGAAAGGACCUUGAUCAAUGAAAAGUACAUUGAUAGGAAAGGGGGAGCUUCUUAACUACUUGGAAGACAUGGUGGGCAGCUGUGUUACCAUAAGGCAAGAAAUCAAGAUUAAGAGUUCGGUCCAUAUGAGUUUGAAUUUGUCGUAAACUUUGGUUUUGACAAAUUCACAUGGAUAGGAACACAUACACCAUUAAAGUCUAAGUGUCAUAAGAUUCCCUCCUUCAUGGAAAUGACUGUGAGGAAAUGCUUUCACUAAGAGAGAUUUAAUAAGAUAGUGAUUAUGAAAUUGUAUUCUCGAAUUCGAUUAUGGUUACGGUAUCCCUUUCCAUGAUUCGAAUUGUGAGAUUUUGAAAUUAGUCUGAAUUGUUGAUGUUGGAUUAGUGUCUAAGUCCAUAACUAUUUUGGUAUGUACUUGACCCGAUGGAGCAUGGUCCUUUUAGGUUUCCUUCACCAAAGCAACUUGAUAGGAUGAAUUAUGGAGAGAAAGGAUUAAUUAUGAUUUAUUAAUAUAUUAUGAGAAUAAUAUAUUAAAGGAGAAAUCAUAUAGUUUAAUUAAUAUUAGUCAAGAAUUAAUUGGUAAUUAGGUUUGUGACUAAAAGAGAUUAAUUAAACUUAAGGGACUGGAAUUGUAAUUAUAAGAUAAUUGCAAUUGGGCUAUGGGUUACCUUAUAAUAUAAGGUUGGACGAAUUCUAUGGGGAAACCCAUUAGAAAUCGUCCAAAGGAUUAUUAAUGAAGGGUCCGUGGGCUGCUUAGGGCUUAAGCAGUCAGUUUAGGGUUUCCUAGUUCAAAACCCUAAUAGCCUACAUGUAUAUAAAGGACCCUUAAGCCCCAAAAACGUGGUGGACAUGUUCCUUAGGGUUUUCACACGUUUUGGGCAGACUCCUUCUCUUCUCCUCUUCAUCCUCUUGCUCUUGGUGUUUGUGAACCAUUAGAGGAGUGACAUUUGUGACUCUAAGCUUUCUAAAUUCAUUACAAGGAGGAUUUGAGAUUGUUAUUGCUACAUAACAAUCAAGGUAAUAUCUUAAACCUUUUUUUAUGUUAAUAUGAUUUAUUGCAUGCUAGAUCUAGGGUUUAUAGCUUUGGAUAUUCAAUUGCAUGUUCAUUAGACAACCUAGAUCCAAAAGCUGUUAGGGUUUGCAUGUACACCAUAGGAAUGAUGUAUAGUCUAAAACCCAAUAGUGGUAUAAGAGCCUAGGUCAUUUUUCUAUUGAAUAGAUACAAAAAGAUCAGAAAAAAACGAAAUUUUUUUUUGUCUGCGCCGCCAACUCGGCGAGUCCUUUUAUGGACUCGGGGAGUAGCCCCGACUCGGCGAGUACAUCAGUUGGACUCGGCGAGUAGGCUGAACUCGGCGAGUCCAUCAGUGGACUCGACGAGUCCAGGGUGCUGUUGACGAGAUUUUCGAAUUUUUGAGCAGAUUUUGUUAAGGAUAAUUACCAAAACUCGUUUUUAUUGCCUAAAAUCGAUUUUUUAUGUUUGAAAUGAUUAUCCUUAUCAGAAUUAAUGGAUUUGGUUAAAUAUGGAUAAUAUAGGAUUAUUAUUAGAUAAAUAUUUGACCUUUUUAGUUUGAAAAGUUUCCAUUAGCACCCUUAGGUUUUAUAAUUUAAAUUUGAACUUAAAAGUUUUGUUUUUGGAAUUUAAAUAGUUAAACCCUACUGUUUUGAAAAGGUUUCAAAACUUGCCCUCAAGUUUUGGAAUUUAAAAGUUGAUUAAAAGUUUAAUUAGGAAUGUUAAAUUCUAAAACCCUAGUAUAGUUUUGAAAAAGUUCAAAUCACACCCUUAUGGUUUUAUUAAUUAAUUAAGGUGUAUAAUUAAAAGAGGUUUAAUAAAUCCAUAAAAGUUUAGGUUUACAAUUUAAUUGAAUUAAAAGUAUAAUUGUUAAAUUUGACCACCUAGUAUUUUAAAAGUGUAAAAUACACCCUAUACUAUAUAUAACAUUAAAAGUCUAACAUUAUAUAUAUGUAUGAGUAAAAGUCAGUCUUACCGUUAGUAGGCCUCAUUCACGAAGCUGGUCUAUAAGGGGUGUUUAAGGAAAUUGCCUAUAAAAUGGCGAUUGAAUGGGUAUCCACUCUUACCCACCGCACUCUUGACUAGUGGAGGGUCGUUAGCCGAACGGGUAGGAUAGGACGAAACCUUCCAUUAUAAGUAUAAUGAAGUAUAAAAGUAACUAAAUGUUUUCAUAAAAUUCCCAAUCUUAGUUACUUAGGCAAAAGUGAAUUGAUGCAAUUCCAUGAAAUUACACUUUGUGCCCUUGCGAAGACGUUAGUGGAGCGUGUGUGGUUAACCGGCACACUAAAUGGUUCUAAGCAAAGGUAGCAAAGGGUGACUCAAUGUUUGUCAUAGUUCGGUGGAGCGUGUGUGGUUUACCGGCACAUCGAAUAGGUGACUGUAACAUGUGAGGGCACCAUGUAAGUUUGCAUGGUUAUUCACACCCGCUUUGUGAUCCUCGGCAUCCCAGUCACAAACAAGAGGGGCAUAUCGAGAUUUAAACAUGCCAUUGAAAUGUUCAAUGAAUCUCAAAGGAUCUAGGAGUUUUCAUAGAUUUAAAACUUAAAUUUCUUUUUCGUUUUUCAUGGUGGAAAUUAGUGAAUCGUCAUUCACUUACCUUCAAAUGUUCUGCAAUUUGGGUUACGGCAUCCCUCUCCCGAGUUGUAGAAUAUUGUGUUGGGUCCUAGCCUUAGUAUCUCAUUUGGGUGAUUUACUAAGGACUCAAUCAAUCAACUAACUUGAAUUCGUUUUCUCCCGUUUUGUAGAUGUCAAAGUUCGACAACUAUGGUCUUCCCAAAUCCCGUGGAACAAGCUUUCCACAUGAAGAUGAUAUUCCACGAUUCGAUCGAGGAACAAGAGAUCAUGCUUCACUUCCUCCACCUCCUCCAAUUAUUCUCCCUAACCCACAAGUUUGAAGGCUUGAAAAGUUCAAGCUCACUCAAGCCCUUUUGGCAAGUAAAAUGAAGAAGGAAAGUCGGUUUGUGCACACAUCCUAGAGAUGAAGUCACACAUUGAUAGGUUAAGAAUGUUGGGAUCCAUUGUCUGUGAGGAGCUAGAUGUUGACUGGGUUCUUCAAUCACUUCCUAACUCGUAUAGUGAGUUCGUAAGAGAGUACUAUAUGAUGAACCACGACAUGAACUAGAUCUCACCUACAUGCUUAUUGCUGCUGAAUCAACAAUGAUUUGGCGCACUGGAAAAGCAAAGUUGAUUGGUGAAUCUGCCUUCCAUACCUCUAUGGAUAUAGGGAAUGGCAACGAAAGGCAUGUCAUGAUCUAAAAGUUUGAUCAUAAGAGACAGGCAAUGUCUGAAGUAGUUCCAUGUCAUGUUCCAAAAGAGUCAAUUUGCUUUUAUUGCCAAGAGAAAGGGCAUUGGAGACGAAGCUGCCCCAUUUACCUAAGAGAUCUAAGAGAUGGGAGAGUCAAAACGUAUGGCUCUGCUUUAGGUAAAAUUCAUUGACUAACUCUUUUAAGCUCCUAUUCUAGAUUCUUAAUACAUAAUGUGAUAAGAUUACAAUUGAUGUUUUGUAGGAUCGAAGAAAAGAGAGGAAGCUUAAGGGAAGAAGUGAGCAGAAUCUAACCGUGAAGAAAUGGAUUUCGAUCGCAUUUCUCGAAGAUUAGAUUCUUGAGCUACUACUUAGAGUUAGAAUUAGAUUGCUAAGAAAGAUGUAUUAGCAUAGUUUUUCAAUGAAUUGCAUUGUAAGGACAAAUUUUUCCGCAAUAAAAUAAAU